rnacentral:tRNA from 1 species
GGCGUGAUGGCCGAGUGGUCUAAGGCGCUGUCUUCAGGCUUUGUACAAGCAUGAUCGGCAGUCAGAAAUGGCGAGGGUUCGAAUCCCUCUCACGUCA